rnacentral:misc_RNA from 1 species
UCUCCGUAGGUGAACCUGCGGAGGGAUCAUUAACACGUUCCAAACCAACUUAUCAACCCCACUGUGAACUCUUCGUCUCUGCCUACUGUCACUGCCAGUGCUCUACGGUGCGUGCUGAGAUCCUGGAUGAAGGUGAAGGGAAGCUUUUGACUGCUCUCGCAAGAGAACACGUCCUCCUUUCAUACGGGUCGAGCUGCGCUUUGAUGGCCCCUUCUUUGAAGGGGUCAGCCGUCCUGACGGUGACGAGGCCCAACAUAUAUACGGGUGGUGAUGGGUCAUCCAUCGCUGAACGCAUAUCGACACGACCCUGGUUGGCCGCAGGUUGUGUAUACUCUUCUGUGCUCAGCAUUGAACAUUUCUAUCAUUGAUUUCACCAUGGUACUCGCCUCUCAGCAGGCGUGUCUCCAUGGGUACUGACCCUCUUAACUGCAGGAGUUCAGUUGAUACAACAUUGAUACAACUCUUAGCAAUGGAUAUCUUGGUUCUC